rnacentral:lncRNA from 1 species
CCAGAGUCACAUGUCCCUCAGGAGUCAGUAGCAGCAUCGACACAUGCCGAUUUUGAUGCCGACAAGCCCAGACAUGCAGUGAUAAGUGUUACUAUUUGGUUAGAUGUAUGUCAUUUACUUGAAUGAUUUUAAUACUAAUUUGUAUAAUUCGUUUGUUUUUAAUUUAACAGGAGGUUUGUCAUGCCAUCGCCGAGACGUUGGAGCAUCAUCUCAGCCUAAAUGAAGUCACGCCAGGCACAUCGACAUAUGAGGUCAUCCAAAAAUGCCUCAGGAUUGUCAGGGGUGUUACAGAAGACCGCAAUGUGUAUGUGAGGUCUCAACACACGUGGUGCACGGAUCAACCAUAGUUUAUUCACACCUUUGAUAUUAUUAGUUUUGGACAAUGUAUUUGAUUGAACAUUUGGUAUAUUUUAAGUUAUUUUGAUUAAUAAUAUUAACGUUAAUGUUUAC